rnacentral:rRNA from 1 species
GUGCCUAAUACAUGCAAGUCGAACGAGAGCGACCGGUGCUUGCACUGGUCAAUCUAGUGGCGGACGGGUGAGUAACACGUGGGUAACCUGCCCAUCAGAGGGGGAUAACAUUCGGAAACGGAUGCUAAAACCGCAUAGGUCUUCGAACCGCAUGGUUUGAAGAGGAAAAGAGGCGCAAGCUUCUGCUGAUGGAUGGACCCGCGGUGCAUUAGCUAGUUGGUGAGGUAACGGCUCACCAAGGCCGUGAUGCAUAGCCGACCUGAGAGGGUGAUCGGCCACAUUGGGACUGAGACACGGCCCAAACUCCUACGGGAGGCAGCAGUAGGGAAUCUUCCGCAAUGGACGCAAGUCUGACGGAGCAACGCCGCGUGAGUGAAGAAGGUUUUCGGAUCGUAAAACUCUGUUGUUAGAGAAGAACAAGUGCUAGAGUAACUGUUAGCGCCUUGACGGUAUCUAACCAGAAAGCCACGGCUAACUACGUGCCAGCAGCCGCGGUAAUACGUAGGUGGCAAGCGUUGUCCGGAUUUAUUGGGCGUAAAGCGAGCGCAGGCGGUUCCUUAAGUCUGAUGUGAAAGCCCCCGGCUCAACCGGGGAGGGUCAUUGGAAACUGGGGAACUUGAGUGCAGAAGAGGAGAGUGGAAUUCCAUGUGUAGCGGUGAAAUGCGUAGAUAUAUGGAGGAACACCAGUGGCGAAGGCGACUCUCUGGUCUGUAACUGACGCUGAGGCUCGAA